rfam:Strongylocentrotus purpuratus Contig42225_fixed, whole genome shotgun sequence.
CCAACGGCCCUUUUAAGGGCCACCAAAUGACAAGAAAGAUUGAAUU